CCUACGGGGGGCAGCAGUGGGGGAUAUUGCACAAUGGGGGGAACCCUGAUGCAGCGACGCCGCGUGGGUGAAGAAGCGCCUCGGCGCGUAAAGCCCUGUCAGCAGGGAAGAAAACGACGGUACCUGAAGAAGAAGCCCCGGCUAACUACGUGCCAGCAGCCGCGGUAAUACGUAGGGGGCAAGCGUUAUCCGGAUUUACUGGGUGUAAAGGGGGCGCAGACGGCGAUGCAAGCCAGGAGUGAAAGCCCGGGGCCCAACCCCGGGACUGCUCUUGGAACUGCGUGGCUAGAGUGCAGGAGGGGCAG
rnacentral:rRNA from 1 species